AACGGCCGGAUACGGGAGACGGGAAGAAACAAGCCGAUUAUGUUCGCGUUAAUUAGGUGGUUGGAAGAUGUAAAAUUCUCAAUUCUGCCAGCUGAACAUAUACGAGAUUUUAAUGAGGAUGAAUAAUUAGCCGGCAUGGAGGAAACGGACCUUUAUUUGGUGGAGUGGCGACAAGAAGCCAAAAGGCGGGUGGCCGGUCUAUGAAGCCUCCAUCAUCAAGCUAGCAGAAAUCCCACCUCUCCUUCUGGCUACAGAGCACUUACUUACCAAGCCCAUGAAAUCGAAUGCAGAUCUUCCUGAUGUCAGAUUUACAUAAAUAUGUCAAAGUCUCAACCUCAUGCUGCCCUCCCCCAUCCUCUUAAACCUGUGGAUACAAAUGCAGAUUUCCUUAAUGUUCAAUGGUGCGUGUUCUUCUAAUGGCCGCCUUCCCACUGGAGGUUUUGAUCCACAGCAAUUUAAAA